AUACGGAGGGUGCAAGCGUUACUCGGAAUCACUGGGCGUAAAGCGCGCGCAGGCGGUCUUUUAAGUUGGAUGUGAAAGCCUACGGCUCAACCGUAGAACUGCAUCCAAAACUAUUAGACUAGAGUGUGGGAGAGGAAGAUGGAAUUAGUUGUGUAGGGGUGAAAUCCGUAGAGAUAACUAGGAAUACCAAAAGCGAAGGCAAUCUUCUGGAACACUACUGACGCUGAGGCGCGAAAGCGUGGGGAGCAAACAGGAUUAGAUACCCGAGUAGUCC
rnacentral:rRNA from 1 species